GAUGAACGCUGGCGGCGUGCCUAAUACAUGCAAGUCGAGCGAACGGACGAGAAGCUUGCUUCUCUGAUGUUAGCGGCGGACGGGUGAGUAACACGUGGAUAACCUACCUAUAAGACUGGGAUAACUUCGGGAAACCGGAGCUAAUACCGGAUAAUAUUUUGAACCGCAUGGUUCAAAAGUGAAAGACGGUCUUGCUGUCACUUAUAGAUGGAUCCGCGCUGCAUUAGCUAGUUGGUAAGGUAACGGCUUACCAAGGCAACGAUGCAUAGCCGACCUGAGAGGGUGAUCGGCCACACUGGAACUGAGACACGGUCCAGACUCCUACGGGAGGCAACAGUAGGGAAUCUUCCGCAAUGGGCGAAAGCCUGACGGAGCAACGCCGCGUGAGUGAUGAAGGUCUUCGGAUCGUAAAACUCUGUUAUUAGGGAAGAACAUAUGUGUAAGUAACUGUGCACAUCUUGACGGUACCUAGUCAGAAAGCCACGGCUAACUACGUG
rnacentral:rRNA from 1 species